UACGGGAGGCAGCAGUGGGGAAUUUUGGACAAUGGGCGAAAGCCUGAUCCAGCCAUGCCGCGUGAGUGAAGAAGGCCUUCGGGUUGUAAAGCUCUUUCGGCCGGGAAGAAAUCGCACAGGCCAAUACCCUGUGUGGAUGACGGUACCGGAAUAAGAAGCACCGGCUAACUACGUGCCAGCAGCCGCGGUAAUACGUAGGGUGCGAGCGUUAAUCGGAAUUACUGGGCGUAAAGCGCGUGUAGGCGGUUUCUUAAGUCUGAUGUGAAAGCCCUGGGCUCAACCCAGGAAGUGCAUUGGAUACUGGGAGACUUGAAUACGGGAGAGGGUAGUGGAAUUCCUAGUGUAGGAGUGAAAUCCGUAGAUAUUAGGAGGAACACCGGUGGCGAAGGCGGCUACCUGGACCGAUAUUGACGCUGAGACGCGAAAGCGUGGGGAGCAAACAGGAUUAGAUACCCUGGUAGUCCACGCCGUAAACGAUGAGAACUAGGUGUUGCGGGUAUUGACCCCUGCAGUGCCGCANCUAACGCAUUAAGUUCUCCGCCUGGGAAGUACGGUCGCAAGACUAAAACUCAAAGGAAUUGACGGAA
rnacentral:rRNA from 1 species